AGGAUGCACAGUAUUCUGUAAGAUGGUUAUCACAGGGAGUGGAGCUCAGAUCAUCUCCUGGGGGCUGACACGUCCCAGGGUGUUCAGAAGCCCUCUUUGUGCCGUGUUGCUUUAAUUCUCCAUGCUGUCUCUUGAUGUGUAUUUGGUUAUCUAGUCUCUCUCUCUCUCUCUCUCUCUCUUUGCUGGAAUGCCUCUCUGUGUUAAAAUGCUUUUAUGCAGCUUCUGAAGACACUGCAGUACUGCUUUUGUUAACAUGAUAUAACUCCACUGGAAUGAACACACACACACACACACACACACACACACACAGAGCACGCAUGCGCAACCCACAUCCCCAUCAGGAAUUAUCAGAGAGUCUCGCCCGAAGCUGUGAAAAGCUAAAUCCACCCAUCCACAUUCAAAAGAGCAAAACUGUCAACAGGAAGAUUUUAUAUUUAAAAACUAUCAGCAGCGCUUCGUCCAAAUGCUGUACUGAUGUCCUUGCAACUGGAAGGAUAAGAAGAAACGGAUAGUCCUUUGGAUCUGUUCCUGUUUGAGGAUGGAAAGAAUAUAUGUGGAUGCUGGACAUAGCAAUCGGAUGAGCGUGACCUGGGAAGAGCAGAACAGAAGAUCUACCCCACCAUCCCAAACCAAGAGACAAUAUUCUCCAACUCCUUCUGCCCUUCUUAUCUGUCCCUUCUCUUUUCCUUCCUUUUGGGGGUGUAGCUAAGCACUGUUAAAGCUUUCAUUGUACGAAACAAGUGAGGCAUCAAGUUUAAUAUUAUUAAGGAUGCAAUUACUGCUUUCUCAAGUCUCACCUGUUAUUUUAGCUCAACGGUUUAUAUAUCGAUACUGGCCCUUCGUGUAAAGGCAACUUUCUCGGUCUGCUGUUUCAUACUGAGUGUCUUUCCGUUGGCAUUUCCUGUUCUGCACCUGUCUGUGUAAUGCACUGGUUUGGAAUGCCAUGUCAGGACUAGAUAGGUCUGCGUUCAAAUCCCUCUCGCCCAUGAAAGUCACAAGGUGAUCUUGGGCUGGCCCUGAUGUGGAGUUGAGGAAGGAUGGAAAUAAAACGCAGGUUCUUGAACUGGAAGCCA
rnacentral:lncRNA from 1 species